rnacentral:rRNA from 1 species
AUUGAACGCUGGCGGCAGGCCUAACACAUGCAAGUCGAGCGAGCGUCGGACGGGUGAGUAAUGUCUGGGGACUGCCCGAUAGAGGUGGAUAACUACUGGAAACGGUAGCUAAUCCCGCAUACUAUCGGAUAACCCAUAUGGGAUUAGCUAGUCGGUGAGGUAAGGGCUCACCUAGGCGACGAUCCCUAGCUGGUCUGAGAGGAUGAGCAGCCACACUGGGACUGAGAAACGGCCCAGACUCCUAGGGAGGCAGCAGUGGUGAAUAUUGCACAAUGGGAGAAAGCCUGAUGCAGCCAUGCCGCGUGUAUGAAGAAGGCCCUAGGGUUGUAAAGUACUUUCAGUCGGGAGGCGUUACCGACAGAAGAAGCACCGGCUAACUCCGUGCCAGCAGCCGCGGUAAUAC